CCUACGGGAGACAGCAGUGAGGAAUAUUGGUCAAUGGACGAGAGUCUGAACCAGCCAAGUAGCGUGAAGGAUGACUGCCCUAUGGGUUGUAAACUUCUUUUAUAAAGGAAUAAAACGAGGCACGUGUGCCUUUUUGCAUGUACUUUAUGAAUAAGGAACGGCUAACUCCGUGCCAGCAGCAGAGGUAAAACGGAGGAUCCGAUCGUUAUCCGGAUUGAUUGGGUUUAAAGGGAGCGUAGAUGGGUUGUUAAGUCAGUUGUGAAAGUUUGCGGCUCAACCGUAAAAUUGCAAUUGAUACUGGCAGUCUUGAGUACAGUUGAGGUAGGCGGAAUUCGUGGUGUAGCGGUGAAAUGCUUAGAUAUCACGAAGAACCCCGAUUGCGAAGGCAGCUUACUAAACUGUGACUGACAUUGAUGCUCGAAAGUGUGGGUAUCAAACAGGAUUAGAUACCCUUGUAGUC
rnacentral:rRNA from 1 species